rnacentral:lncRNA from 1 species
UCCAGAGCAGCUUGCUUUGUCAGACAUUGGAUUUUUGGGACUUUGGCUAAUUCUGGGUUUAAGCAUGCUUGGAUCAAAAUUGAGAAUUAAUUGGGAAAGCUGACUCAGGAAAUGCUCUCUCUCAGCCUCUACCAAUUGUUUCGUUCUAGCCUCCAUCCUUAAAGCCUCUUCCCUUGCCUUAGCUUCCAUCUUUUUAGUCUCUUCUUGAAGGAGAACUCUUAAACUGUCCUUCAAACGGUCGUCAAAGCUCACUCUCU